UCCGUAGGGGGCAAGCGUUGUCCGGAUUUAUUGGGCGUAAAGAGCGUGUAGGCGGCCGUGUAGGUCCGUUGUGAAAACUCGAGGCUCAACCUCGAGACGUCGAUGGAAACCACACGGCUAGAGUCCGGAAGAGGAGAGUGGAAUUCCUGGUGUAGCGGUGAAAUGCGCAGAUAUCAGGAAGAACACCUAUGGCGAAGGCAGCUCUCUGGGCCGGCACUGACGCUGAGGAGCGAAAGCGUGGGGAGCGAACAGG
rnacentral:rRNA from 1 species